rnacentral:rRNA from 1 species
AGUGAACGCUGGCGGUAGGCCUAACACAUGCAAGUCGAACGGCAGCACAGGAGAGCUUGCUCUCUGGGUGGCGAGUGGCGGACGGGUGAGGAAUACAUCGGAAUCUACUUUUUCGUGGGGGAUAACGUAGGGAAACUUACGCUAAUACCGCAUACGACCUACGGGUGAAAGCAGGGGACCUUCGGGCCUUGCGCGAUUGAAUGAGCCGAUGUCGGAUUAGCUAGUUGGCGGGGUAAAGGCCCACCAAGGCGACGAUCCGUAGCUGGUCUGGGGGGAUGAUCAGCCACACUGGAACGGAGAAACGGUCGAGACUCCUACGGGGGGCAGCAGUGGGGAAUAUUGGACAAUGGGCGAAAGCCUGAUCCAGCCAUACCGCGUGGGUGAAGAAGGCCUUCGGGUUGUAAAGCCCUUUUGUUGGGAAAGAAAUCCAGCUGGCUAAUACCCGGUUGGGAUGACGGUACCCAAAGAAUAAGCACCGGCUAACUUCGUGCCAGCCGCCGCCGUAA